AUGGGUGAGGUUCAAACUUCUUCUUCGAUCGUGGUCUUCUUCUACAAGCUCUACACGAUGACACUCUUCUCCAGUAAACAAAAUACGUCAUCGCCGCCGCUCAAUAUUGACGAUCCGUUUGUCUCAGCUUCUUCUUUCUCAAACGUGAUAAUGUUUUCUCUGAAUACACGGCGGCGACUUCGUCUUCUUCGUCGAGUACCGUUCGCUUCGUUCUCAACAAUAUGCGACAGCUCUAUUCAAUCUUUGUUCCCCCUAAAUUUUAUCGCCUCCUUCUCAAUAUAA